GGCCAGAGAAAUGGUUGGACUACACGCAGCGUGUCCACAAACAAGACACGCAAGCACCCGAGGCCGCAAUGCACCACCCAGGGAGGGCCUUGGGCCAAGCUGCCCUACUUGGACACUUCCACUGGCAACAGACCCUGGCUUCAGUAAAUCCUGUGCAGACGGAUUCUCCUAACACGUUGUCAUGCCCUCGUUCAAGAAUCUCCAGUGGCUCACUGUUGCCCAGAGGAUAUGAAGAAUCCACUGCUCCUCCUGUUCCCUCUACUCCCUUCCUCUCCUGACUUCAUUUUGCACCUUCUAUCUGCCCUUCAGGCCUCACCCUGAUUCUAACUCCUCCGUGAAUUCAUCUAUGAAACCUUGAAUAAAUGCUCUCAAAAUAUAAGGUGCUGAUCGAGUCAUGCUGCUGGACCAGACACGGUCUCUGGCCUCAAGUUGCUCACCGUCUAGUGGGAGAGAUGACUCAAAGACACAGCUGUGAUGGAGAGUCGAUUGUGAUAACACAAAGUGGACAAAUGGGC
rnacentral:lncRNA from 1 species